UUGGGGGGGUACGGCUACCAAGGCGACGAUCGGUAGCUGGUCUGAGAGGAUGACCAGCCACACUGGAACUGAGACACGGUCCAGACUCCUACGGGAGGCAGCAGUGGGGAAUAUUGGACAAUGGGGGCAACCCUGAUCCAGCAAUGCCGCGUGUGUGAAGAAGGCCUGAGGGUUGUAAAGCACUUUCAGUGGGGAGGAGGGUUGAUAGGUUAAGAGCUAAUUAACUGGACGUUACCCACAAAAGAAGCACCGGCUAACUCCGUGCCAGCAGCCGCGGUAAUACGGAGGGUGCGAGCGUUAAUCGGAAUUACUGGGCGUAAAGGGUGCGUAGGUGGUUGAUUAAGUUAUCUGUGAAAUUCCUGGGCUUAACCUGGGACGGUCAGAUAAUACUGGUUGACUCGAGUAUGGGAGAGGGUAGUGGAAUUUCCGGUGUAGCGGUGAAAUGCGUAGAGAUCGGAAGGAACACCAGUGGCGAAGGCGGCUACCUGGCCUAAUACUGACACUGAGGCACGAAAGCGUGGGGAGCAAACAGGAUUAGAUACCCUGGUAGUCCACGCUGUAAACGAUGUCAACUAGCUGUUGGUUAUAUGAAAAUAAUUAGUGGCGCAGCAAACGCGUAAAAGUU
rnacentral:rRNA from 1 species